CUCGUAGGCUACUCGGUAAGUCUUUUGUUAAAUCCCUCUGCUUAACAGAGGAUCUGCAAUCGAAACUACCGAGAUUGAGUUUGGAAGAGGAAAGCGGAAUUCCUGGUGUAGCGGUGACAUGCGUAGAUAUCAGGAGGAACACCAAAGGCGAAGGCAGCUUUCUGGUCCAAUACUGACGCUGAAGAGCGAAAGCGUGGGGAGCAAACA
rnacentral:rRNA from 1 species